rnacentral:rRNA from 1 species
GACAGAGGUGCCGAGCGUUAGGCGGAAUCACUGGGCUUAAAGCGUGUGUAGGCGGAUGCCUAAGUACCUUGUGAAAUCCCACGGCUCAACCGUGGAACUGCUGGGUAUACUGGGCGUCUUGAGCCAACUAGGGGCGACCGGAACAAACGGUGGAGCGGUGAAAUGCGUAGAUAUCGUUUGGAACGCCGAUGGUGAAAACAGGUCGCUGGGGUUGUGCUGACGCUGGAGAAGCGAAAGCAUGGGGAGCGAACAGG